rnacentral:lncRNA from 1 species
GUUGAUGCAAUGCACGCUGAUAAAAGACAAAGCUUACAUAUGCAAGAUUCGUUAGGAACCAGGUACUCCUAACACAGUUUAGUAGUUUCUUUAUUCACUCAUGCACAAUUUUAAAUGGUCAAAAUAGUGCCAUAUUAUUAGUGUGUCAGUUUCUUUUCUUUGCGUCUUUUGAACCCAAACGUCUCACCCAUUAGUAAUUGGCGUGACUCCCAAAACUACCGCAUUUUCUUAACUGAUCCCUCAUCAAUCCUAAGUACAUCUAUCACUGUCACAACUCCUCACAUCAAACAUUAAAGUUUUUCUUCUUAUUCUUCCUCUUCAAACUACCCAUCUCUUUUGUUCAACUCAUCACUUCUCUCCAUGGCUAAAAAUCACGAAACCUCGAGUGUUCCAAGUAACACUCCCAUUGAGUCCUCAACCGUUCAAACACUGAUAUUAGACUCCUGCCUCAACACUACUACUAGCCAAAAACCUAGUUCAGAGUCACCCC